AAGUAAAGAUUCACUUUAAUCAUUCUUUUCCGCUAUUACAUAAACUCAGAUCCUUCACAAAAAUAAAUAAUCAUGUGUACAUCAAAAAAUACGAAAACUUCAAGCAACACCACCACCUGAGUUUCUUCAAACUCCUCCCAAGUAUUGUGUACAAUUAAUUCAUCAUAAUUCAUCAAAAUUUGAAAAAAAAAAAUGAAAUUCAAGAUAAAUUAAACCCAAGACUAAUUCCCCCUUCAUCUUUCUUUUGAAAGCUGUUGCUGUUAAUUGUGUCCUUGGCUAGGUCCCGAAGGGGGGGUCGGACUCUUCGGAAGAAAAACCAUUUUACCGAACUUCCAGGGAAAAUUCUGACCCUCUUGAUUUUCCGGCAGCACUGCACGUCCCUUCACCUGACCCACGCGAUUUCCAGGCAAAAUCGGCGGCGCGAAGCUGCGGGCAUGAUUUCCCAGCAAAAUCGACGGCGCGAAGUUGCGGGCACGAUCCAUGGAGGCCAAAUUUUCAGGCUUGAUGGAGUCAUCCGGCAAUCUUGCAUUAGAACCAUGCAAUAUGAGGAAGAACAGAAAGAGAAAAGUAGGCAAAAGGUGUCCUAGCUUCGCCAUUAGAGCUUCUUUGUGAAGAUUCUAAAAAUGAAUGUGUAAUCAAAAUAGAGUUUGUGGGGGGUCUAUAUAGGCCGGGGAUUUGUGAAUUAAAAGAAGGGUUAGAGAUAAAGAUGAAACUGUCAACGUAGAAUUCAAAUGAGAGAGAGAGAGAGAGAGAGAGAGGUUUCUUCCCCUUUUUUUUCCAAUGAAGUCCGGCAAAAUCAGGAGAAAUCUGAAAUAUGGAGAAUAUAUAAAUUGGGAAAAAAGCAAACCCAAAUUAAAUCUCUAGAGUGAGAGGUUUUUUUUCCGGGAAAAUCAGGAAAAAAUCUCAAAUAUGCAGAAGAUAAUAACUUCGGGGAAAAAGCAAAAUGGGUUGAGAUAAGGUUUGGAGGCAAUAAACUAAUAGAAACCGG
rnacentral:lncRNA from 1 species